UGGAUCGGAUGCGGUGCGGAUGAAUCGGACAUCCGGGAAAUGGUGUUGGGACCGGGCGGUAGUGAGGUCCUCGUCUCCUCCGUCGUCGUCCUCGCGGAGGUGGAAGUCAUUAGGCGACAUCGGCUGGCUGCGGCGCUGAAUGCAGCUUCUCCCUAACGAGACGGCGCGGCAUCACGGGCGGCACCAGCCGCGGCGGCGGUGUGUCCCCGGAAAUGGAGCUGCCGGCUGAAGAGCAGGACUGUCACCGACGGUUUGGAGUGUGGGGAUUGUUACUUUCUGUAUGGCGCGCGCGGGGCUUUCAGCAAAGGCUGUCUUCCCCGCCAAACCCAACCACCCCCGACGACGCCGCCCACGCCUGCAGUCGCAGAGGACAGGGGUGAUUCCAGCGUCACGCGCCCCGCGUCGUUGCGUUUCAUCCCCGAUGACCCUGGCUGGCGCUGCUGGCGCUCAGCUUCCUGCCUCAACAUCACGAGCGGGUCGGGCGUCAUCCGGAGACGCAAGGUCAGCCCAGGCUGUGGUCCCAUCUCACCUCACCCCCAGAGGACCCCGCGACGACCAUCGAGCAGUGCUUGACCCUGAGGAAGAGC